rnacentral:tRNA from 1 species
GCGGCGGUGGCGCAACGGCGACGCGGCAGACUUAGGAUCUGUGGCCUGUGAAAGGGCUUGAGGGUUCGAAUCCCUUCCGCCGCA